rnacentral:rRNA from 1 species
GACGAACGCUGGCGGCGUGCUUAACACAUGCAAGUCGAACGGUAAGGCCCUUCGGGGUACACGAGUGGCGAACGGGUGAGUAACACGUGGGUGAUCUGCCCUGCACUUCGGGAUAAGCCUGGGAAACUGGGUCUAAUACCGGAUAGGACUCCGGACUGCAUGGUCUGGGGUGGAAAGCUUUUGCGGUGUGGGAUGGGCCCGCGGCCUAUCAGCUUGUUGGAGGAGUGAUGGCCUACCAAGGCGACGACGGGUAGCCGGCCUGAGAGGGUGACCGGCCACACUGGGACUGAGAUACGGCCCAGACUCCUACGGGAGGCAGCAGUGGGGAAUAUUGCACAAUGGGCGCAAGCCUGAUGCAGCGACGCCGCGUGAGGGAUGACGGCCUUCGGGUUGUAAACCUCUUUCAGCAUCGACGAAGCGAAAGUGACGGUAGGUGCAGAAGAAGGACCGGCCAACUACGUGCCAGCCGCCGCAGUAA